rnacentral:rRNA from 1 species
AAUAUUGCGCAAUGGAGGGAACUCUGACGCAGCGACGCCGCGUGAGCGAUGAAGGUUUUCGGAUCGUAAAGCUCUGUCCUUGGGGAAGAAGGCGGCCAUUUAUGGUCACUUGACGGUACCCAAGGAGGAAGCCCCGGCUAACUACGUGCCAGCAGCCGCGGUAAUACGUAGGGGGCAAGCGUUGUCCGGAAUUAUUGGGCGUAAAGGGUGCGUAGGCGGCCUUUUAAGUCAGAUGUGAAAGACCACGGCUUAACCGUGGGGUUGCACUUGAAACUAAAAGGCUUGAGUGCAGGAGAGGAGAGUGGAAUUCCUAGUGUAGCGGUGAAAUGCGUAGAUAUUAGGAGGAACACCAGUGGCGAAGGCGACUCUCUGGACUGCAACUGACGCUGAGGCACGAAAGCAUGGGGAGCGAACA